CACUAAUAGUAAAUAAGUGGUGCAAAUAUCACUGUGGAUGCAACAAAAUCACCUAUGUGUUGAGAGCAUUUGGAAAGUCAAAAUAUGCAGCGACCGACUGUGAGUUAAAUCAGGAAAAAAUCAGUGAGUGCCAACGGUCACAAUGACAUCGACUCUAACACUGUUUGCUACAACACAAAUAUCAAGGAAAGAAAGUGUAGGGGAUAGAAAGUUUUAAGAAAAGUGGACUUCUAUUGUUUGGUUGCUUUGUCGGAGAGGAAAGAAAGCAUAAAUUGGAUGCAUCCCACGUUCAAAUUGUUUCCCUCUUAAUUUGUAUAUUAGUAUAUCAUGUUAUUGUUUUUGCUUUUUUUUCUUAAAUUAAUUUCUCUUUCACCAAUCAUCAAUCACCUCGAUUUCCACAAUGUCUCUUCCUUUUUUUUUUUAAACUUAUAUAAUGUAAUUUUAUUUUAUGUAUAUUAAGAAACUCUUG
rnacentral:lncRNA from 1 species